AUCGAACGCUGGCGGCAGGCCUAACACAUGCAAGUCGAGCGAGCGGCGGACGGGUGAGUAUUGUCUGGGAAACUGCUUGAUGGAGGGGGAUAACUACUGGAAACGGUAGCUAAUACCGCAUACCAUCAGAUGUGCCCAGAUGGGUUUAGCUGGUAGGUGGGGUAACGCCUCACCUAGGCGACGAUACCUAGCUGGUCUGAGAGGAUGACCAGCCAAACUGGAACGGGAACACGGUCAAGACUCCUACGGGGGGCGGCAGUGGGGAAUAUUGCACAAUGGGCGCAAGCCGGAUGCGGCCAGGCCGGUUGGUUGAGAAAGGCCUUGGGGUUGUAAAGCACGUUCAGCGGGGAGGCGUUACCCGCAGAAGAAGCACCGGCUAACUACGUGCCAGCAGCCGCGGUAAUAC
rnacentral:rRNA from 1 species